rnacentral:rRNA from 1 species
UGCGUAGGCGGGCGUCUAAGUCAGUGGUGAAAUCUUACAGCUCAACUGUAAAAUUGCCAUUGAUACUGGAUGUCUUGAAUUAGUGUGAAGUGGUUAGAAUGUGUAGUGUAGCGGUGAAAUGCAUAGAUAUUACACAGAAUACCAAUUGCGAAGGCAGAUCACUAACACUAUAUUGACGCUGAGGGACGAAAGCGUGGGGAGCGAACAGGAUUAGAUACCCGAGUAGUCC